AUGGUAGCACAUGAUUUUAUUGUUAAGAAUAGGGAAAGGGCGCUUAAAUACAAACUGUUAUUUGAUAAGAAUCACCCUGAGGCUAUUACCUUGCUUGCUCAUUCCUUGUUUGAUUUAUCUGCAGGCCAGUAUCUUGUUCCGCUGGCGGCCAUCCACGCCUACCGGAACCCUACAUCAGCUACAGAGCCAGAGCCGGAACCACAAUUUGAUCCUCCACGUCUGUCUGAUUACCAGUGGGAUCCGGAAGUAAUUGCCAACCAGUGGCAAUCAGAGGCUUCUUCUUCUCAGUACGACCCCAACUACAACUUUGGAUAUCCGCCAGGCCAGCCGUGGCAAUAG
rnacentral:rRNA from 1 species